AAAACUUUCAACAACGGAUCUCUUGGCUCUGGCAUCGAUGAAGAACGCAGCGAAAUGCGAUAAGUAAUGUGAAUUGCAGAAUUCAGUGAAUCAUCGAAUCUUUGAACGCACAUUGCGCCCGCCAGUAUUCUGGCGGGCAUGCCUGUUCGAGCGUCAUUACAACCCUCAGGCCCCCGGGCCUGGCGUUGGGGAUCGGCGGAAGCCCCCUGCGGGCACAGCGCCGUCCCCCAAAUACAGUGGCGGUCCCGCCGCAGCUUCCAUUGCGUAGUAGCUAACACCUCGCAACUGGAGAGCGGCGCGGCCACGCCGUAAAACACCCAACUUCUGAAUGUUGACCUCGAAUCAGGUAGGAAUACCCGCUGAACUUAAGCAUAUCAAUAAGCGGAGGAAAAGAAACCAACAGGGAUUGCCCCAGUAACGGCGAGUGAAGCGGCAACAGCUCAAAUUUGAAAUCUGGCUCUCGGGCCCGAGUUGUAAUUUGUAGAGGAUGCUUUUGGUGAGGUGCCUUCCGAGUUCCCUGGAACGGGACGCCAUAGAGGGUGAGAGCCCCGUCUGGUUGGACACCGAUCCUCUGUAAAGCUCCUUCGACGAGUCGAGUAGUUUGGGAAUGCUGCUCUAAAUGGGAGGUAUAUGUCUUCUAAAGCUAAAUACCGGCCAGAGACCGAUAGCGCACAAGUAGAGUGAUCGAAAGAUGAAAAGAACUUUGAAAAGAGAGUUAAAAAGUACGUGAAAUUGUUGAAAGGGAAGCGCUUGUGACCAGACUUGGGCUUGGUUGAUCAUCCGGGGUUCUCCCCGGUGCACUCUUCCGGCUCAGGCCAGCAUCAGUUCGCCCUGGGGGAUAAAGGCUUCGGGAAUGUGGCUCUCUCCGGGGAGUGUUAUAGCCCGCUGCGUAAUACCCUGUGGCGGACUGAGGUUCGCGCAUUCGCAAGGAUGCUGGCGUAAUGGUCAUCAGUGACCCGUCUUGAAACACGGACC
rnacentral:rRNA from 1 species